CACUUCCUGUUCGAUCCUCAAUUAAAAUAAGUGAGGCUAUAAGCCUAAGGAACGAGCAAUUAAUUCACACUAUCAAACUCAGCAACAAAUGUUAUUUCAGCUUCUGAUUUUACGCUAGCACCCAUGAAGAUUCAAAUACAAACUAGAAUUAUCCCAAACACACCAACACAAGCAAUUAAUUUGCAGUCUAGCGUAGUUCUAUUAUACAAAUUGAUUUAGGAACUCAAAUAACAGGUUACUUCAUUGUUGAAACUAGGGAAAACAAAGUAGAUUAAAAAUCGAUUUCCAACAGCAACUCUCAUGGCAUUUCGUCACAUUCCUCAAAUCCAAAUUACAUCAGUGAAGAUUCAGAUAAGCACCUGGGAGUAGAGUUUCAACAAAAGAAUUAGGGGUCAGCAGCAGCAGUGAUAGUAUUAGACCAAAGCCAAUGCAACUAACAACAGUGUAUAAUCCAGAAACAUAGACUAGAACCCAGGAUAGUUUGAAAUCGGCCAAGUAUGAGAAAAGCAAGCCCAAAUCAACUUCAACAGACCCACAGUAGCUCAAAUAAGUCCCAUCCCCGUUCCAAAACCCAAUCAAGGUAAUUUUAGAACUUCAAAUACCCAAUACUGAACUACAAUGGCAAACAGGUAGCUAAUAUUGAAUUUGAAUCACAAAACUUCAAUGAAACGGUCUAUUUCACUAAAAAAAAUUGUUACUGCAUUUUCUGUUUUGUUUGUUUUUGGAUUUUUUUUAAAAUUUUCUAUUGUUUUUGGUUUUUGAAUCUGAAGAAAACUAAGAUCUAAAGGUAUGAACUGAAAUUGAAUUGCAAAUCUGGAAUGCUGAGGAGUAUACUUGGGGGAAUCUUUUGG
rnacentral:lncRNA from 1 species